rnacentral:rRNA from 1 species
UACGUAGGGGGCAAGCGUUGUCCGGAUUUAUUGGGCGUAAAGAGCUCGUAGGUGGUUCGGUAAGUCGGAUGUGAAAUCUCCAGGCUCAACCUGGAGGGGUCAUUCGAUACUGCCGUGACUAGAGUUCGGUAGGGGAGUGUGGAAUUCCUGGUGGAGCGGUGAAAUGCGCAGAUAUCAGGAGGAACACCGACGGCGUAGGCAGCGCCCUAGACGAGACCUGACGCUCAGGCACGAAAGCGCGGGGAGCGAACAGG